rnacentral:rRNA from 1 species
CUCCCGGUGAUCCCGCCGGACCUGACUGCUAUCGGAUUGGUACUAAGCCAUGCGAGUCAUUGUAGCAAUACAAGGCGGACGGCUCAGUAACACGUAGUCAACCUAACUCGUGGACGUGGAUAACCUCGGGAAACUGAGAAUAAACCACGAUAGACCAUAGUGCCUGGAAUGGCUUAUGGUCCAAACAGUUUACUGCCAUGGGAUGGGACUGCGGCCUAUCAGCUUGUUGGUGAGGUAAUGGCCCACCAAGGCGAUUACAGGUACGGGCUCUGAGAGGAGAAGCCCGGAGAUGGGUACUGAGACACGGACCCAGGCCCUAUGGGGCGCAGCAGGCGAGAAACCUUAGCAAUGUGCGAAAGCACGACUGGGUCAGUCCGAGUGAUUCCUGAUAAAGGAGUCUUUUGCUUGUCCUAAAAGCACAGGUGAAUAAGGGGUGGGCAAGUCUGGUGUCAGCCGCCGCGGUAAUACCAGCACCUCGAGUGGUCAGGACGUUUAUUGGGCCUAAAGCAUCCGUAGCCGGCUUUGCAAGUCUUCGGUUAAAUCCACCUGCUCAACAGAUGGGCUGCUGGAGAUACUACAAAGCUAGGGAGUGGGAGAGGCAGACGGUAUUCAGUGGGUAGGGGUAAAAUCCUCUGAUCCAUUGAGGACCACCAGUGGCGAAGGCGGUCUGCCAGAACACGUUCGACGGUGAGGGAUGAAAGCUGGGGGAGCAAACCGGAUUAGAUACCCGGGUAGUCCCAGCUGUAAACGAUGCAAACUCGGUGAUGCAUUGGCUUAUGGCCAAUGCAGUGCCGCAGGGAAGCCGUUAAGUUUGCCGCCUGGGAAGUACGGACGCAAGUCUGAAACUUAAAGGAAUUGGCGGGGGAGCA